CAAGUCGAGCGAGAAUCGUAGCAAUACGAGGACAGCGGCGAAAGGGAGAGGAAUACGUAGAUAUCUGCCCCUGAGACCGGGAUAGCGUCGGGAAACUGGCAGUAAUACCGGAUAACGUCUUUGGACCAAAGGUGUGAUUCCGCUCGGGGAUGAGUCUACGCCCUAUUAGCUAGUUGGUGGGGUAAUGGCCUACCAAGGCGAUGAUGGGUAGCGGGUGUGAGAGCAUGAUCCGCCUCACUGGGACUGAGAACUGCCCAGACACCUACGGGUGGCUGCAGUCGAGAAUCUUUGUCAAUGGACGAAAGUCUGAACAAGCGACGCCGCGUGCGGGAUGAAGGCCUUCGGGUUGUAAACCGCUGUCGUAGGGGAACAAAUGUAGAGGGGUUCUCCCCUUUAUUUGAGUGAUCCUAGGAGGAAGGAGAGGCUAAGCUCGUGCCAGCAGCCGCGGUAAGACGAGCUCUCCAAACGUUAUUCGGAAUCACUGGGCUUAAAGAGUUCGUAGGCGGCUCAGCAGGUCGGGUGUGAAAUCCCACAGCUCAACUGUGGAACUGCGCUUGAAACCGCUGGGCUUGAGGGAGACAGAGGUAAGCGGAACAGAUGGUGGAGCGGUGAAAUGCGUUGAUAUCAUCUGGAACACCGGUGGCGAAAGCGGCUUACUGGGUCUCUUCUGACGCUGAGGAACGAAAGCUAGGGUAGCAAACGGGAUUAGAUACCCCGGUAGUCCUAGCCGUAAACGAUGAGCACUAGUCUGUGGGGACCCUCACAUCCUCUCGGACGUAGCGAAAGUGUUAAGUGCUCCGCCUGGGGAGUAUGGUCGCAAGGCUGAAACUCAAAGGAAUUGACGG
rnacentral:rRNA from 1 species